UACGGAGGAUCCAAGCGUUAUCCGGAAUCAUUGGGUUUAAAGGGCCUGUAGGUGGCCAACUAAGUCAGACGUGAAAUCCCUCGGCUUAACCGGGGAACUGCGUCUGAUACUGGAUGGCUGGAGUGUGGGAGAGGGAUGCGGAAUUCCAGGUGUAGCGGUGAAAUGCGUAGAUAUCUGGAGGAACACCGGUGGCGAAGGCGGCAUCCUGGACCAUUACUGACACUGAAAAGCGAAAGCCAGGGGAGCAAACGGG
rnacentral:rRNA from 1 species